UACGAAGGGGCUAGCGUUGCUCGGAAUCACUGGGCGUAAAGGGUGCGUAGGCGGGUCUUAAGUCAGGGGUGAAAUCCUGGAGCUCAACUCCAGAACUGCCUUUGAUACUGAAGAUCUUGAGUUCGGGAGAGGUGAGUGGAACUGCGAGUGUAGAGGUGAAAUUCGUAGAUAUUCGCAAGAACACCAGUGGCGAAGGCGGCUCACUGGCCCGAUACUGACGCUGAGGCACGAAAGCGUGGGGAGCA
rnacentral:rRNA from 1 species